rnacentral:rRNA from 1 species
CAAGAAAAACCUCUAAGGCUAGGCUAAAACUGCCCGUACCGUAAACCGACACAGGAAGUCGAGAUGAGUAUUCUAAGGCGCUCGGGUGAGCCGCGGAGAAGGAACUAGGCAAAUUAACGCUGUAACUUCGGGAUAAGCGUACCGUCUUUGACGGUCUCAGUAAAUUGGUUCAACCAACUGUUUAGCAAAAACACAGGGCCCUGCAAAAUCGUAAGAUGACGUAUAGAGCCUGAUACCUGCCCGGUGCUGGAAGGUUAAGGAAGGAUGUUCGGCGCAAACCAAAGCUUUCGACUGAAGCCCCAGUAAACGGCGGCCGUAACUAUAACGGUCCUAAGGUAGCGAAAUUCCUUGUCGGGUAAGUUCCGACCUGCACGAAUGGUCUAAUGAGUUGAACACUGUCUCCUCCGCGAGCCCGGUGAAAUUGUAGUAUCGGUGAAGAUGCCGGUUACCCGCCACGGGACGAAAAGACCCCGUGAACCUUCACUACAGCUUUGCAUUGAUUUUGAGUAACAGAUGUGUAGAAUAGUUGGGACGCUACGAAGCCAUGCCGCCAGGUGUGGUGGAGCGGUCGUUGAAAUACCAACCUUCUGUUACUUAGAGUCUAAUCCCGAAAGGGAGACAUUGCAUGGUGGGUAGUUUGACUGGGGUGGUCGCCUCCUAAAAAGUAACGGAGGCUCGCAAGGGUGCCCUCAGCAUGGUUGGUAAUCAUGCGUAGAGCGUAUUAGUAUAAGGGCGCUUGACUGUGAGACUGACAAGUCGAGCAGGUGCGAAAGCAGGCUAAAGUGAUCCGGUGGUUCCGCAUGGAAGGGCCAUCGCUCAAAGGGUAAAAGGUACUCCGGAUAACAGGCUGAUCUCCCCCAAGAGCUCAUAUCGACGGGGAGGUUUGGCACCUCGAUGUCGGUUCGUCACAUCCUGGGGCUGGAGAAGGUCCCAAGGGUUCGGCUGUUCGCCGAUUAAAGUGGCACGUGAACUGGGUUCAGAACGUCGCAAGACAGUUCGGUCUCUAUCUGUGGUGGGCGUUAGUAAAUUGAGAAGACAUGACCUUAGUACGAGAGGACCGGGUCGUACACACCGCUGGUGUAUCUGUUGUGCCGCCAGGUGCAGUGCAGAGUAGCUAUGUGUGGCAAGGAUAAGCGCUGAAAGCAUCUAAGCGCGAAACCUUCUUCAAGAUGAGUUUACUUUUAAGGGUCGUAGUAGACGACUACGUUGAUAGGCUAUAGGUGUAAAGCUAGUAAUAGCAAAGCCGAGUAGUACUAAUUGCCCGUAAGCUUU